UAACGCCUGUCAGUGAGUGGGGAUGCAGGGCUGAGGUCAGCCACCGCGCAAGCGCUGGACACACUCUCCCCCCAGGCAAACCCAGAGAAGAGCAGCUCUGGUUGGGUUCAUCUGGACACAGGCACAGAUCCAUCCAGAAGCAACUCACUACCCCCGCAGCGGGACGGCUGGGCCUAGUGGACGAGGAAGGACAUAGGGGUCUUAACCCAGGGGAGACUCCACUCAUUUACUGUCGCUUCCUGAACACCAGCUCCUUUGUGUGUACACCACGUCCACCACGUCCCCACCGACCCUCCACCUGGCAGGUGGUUUUCUGAGAGUAAGAACUCCUUGUGCGAUCUCUCUGCCUGCUUCAGCUUCGGUGUUUUCCUCCUGCUGAGGGCCAAACGACUCUAAACGUGGUGUGAACUGGGAGACAUCCAGAGAAGGCUCGGGGAGGCUGCGAGGCCAGCGGGAACUGCACAACUGCGCGAGCCACGCGCCACCCCAGGGAUGGCCAGGGCCUGUGCCACUUAGGGGGCGCAUCCAGCAGGGCCCAACAGGGCUCUUCAUUACGUCCCCACAGCGCCAGACCGGCAGAAAAACGGUAGCAGCUUCCUGGUCUGAGAGCAUAUCACUCAAGACUACCUGCUUUGCUCUUAAGCUCACUGCUGAGAUCCUUGUUCUGGGAGGAAGAGCAGAAGCUGAAGGACCCUAAAUUUGUAUCAGACAUACCAACCAGGAGCUUCUGAAUUUCAAACCAGACAAGAGCAAGGUUCUGGAUGUUCUCAUGGCAACCCUGAUUGGCAUCCCAGAAGAAGCCUUCUGGAUCUCCAACUGGAUACUCAGUGGCUUCCACUGGGCAAUGUUUGCAUCAAAGGCCUGUUCGCCUGCCACUUGAGAGAUGCGCUGGGGCCUGAGAGAGAGCCCUCCUCCCCCUCCCUGCCCCACCCAACCUCUGACUCCUCCCGACCAUGCUCCUUCCUGCGACACCAAGGUGGGGCCCAGCUGCCCUCCCCACUGAGCCUUAAGUGACUCAGUGGAAGUCAGUAGCCACUUCCCCCCACACCCACACUUACAUUCCAGUGGCCAGCUCACUCACUUUUUGGCACUGGACCCCACACCCACCAGGCCUCUGCUUAGAGUAAAUAAUCAUCUCUUUUAUAGGACGAUUUACGACCAGGGCCGGCCCCAUAUUAGAAGGGGUCACGUGUAGCUUAGCCUCUAAGUGCAUGUCUUUUAUUUCUACAGCUUAAUAGCUGAUCUCUGUGAAUCUUCCUUUUGACCUCUCGCUGACCUGGAACAUUUUGUUUAAGGGAACUAGAGACUUAUUGUUCAGGGUCAUACCUAGCAGAGUGCUGGCUCAACAUGUGUUUGAUGGAAAGGUUUUUUUUAAAAAGAGAGAUUAGUAAAUGGAAAGUAAUUUAGGGGGUCCUUAGGCUUCCUUUAUCCCUAACAGAUCUUACCACCUCCACAAGGGCUUGUUGGGGCCAAGUUAAAAGAGGAGUUGGUGAUAACUGGGCUGAGGCUCCUGCUCAGCCACACUGAGGUCUCUAGGGCAUCAGGACCCACCGAAUCCCCUGUCCCUCACCUAUAUCCUGGGGAGGAUCAUAUUCUAUCUAUUCUAGGAUGCACAGUUUUCACCUGCUAAAAUAUCUCUGAAACUGCGGUAUGUCUUCCAGGCAAUGCAGGAAUAGGGGAUUGGGUGCUGUUUACUCUUGCGCCCCUCCCUCCAGGAGGAGCCUCCAUCCCAUCUGCUGAACUCAGGGGUGGCCAUGUGACUUGCUCUGGCCAAUGGACUAUGUAGGGAAGUGACAUGUAUCACUUUCAGACUGAAGCUUUAAAAGGCAGCCACAGCUCACCUUCAACAGGCAGUAGUUCCAGAUGGAGGCUACCCCAUGGACGUGGGUCCUACAGUGAAGAAGAUGAGGAACUAAGUCAUAGCCAACAGGCAUUGAAGAGGAGAGAAACAAACCUUUCUUCUUUAGCCGUUAAACUUUGGGGCCCUAUUUUGACAACACAAUCUAGCAUAUCCUGACUGGUACUGCAUCUUUCAGUUAACUGACAGAUUUUUUUCUUGGCAGUACAUAAUGGUGCCACUCACUAUCAGUGUGAUUGUAUUGUCAACACAGUGAAACACAGUAUACCUCUCACAUACUGAAUGAGUUGAUCCAUAUAAAUCACAUAGCACAAUGCCUUGCCUACAGUGAGUGUCCAAUCCAUGUUAGCCAUUGUGUAUUUGCAGCCCUGUGUACAUACCCAGUGUUCGUUACGAGUUUAGGGUAAUGACCUGAUGACACAGAAAGUUGGCAGCCCUGCCAGAUGCCUUGUGGAAUGAGAAAGGGUAUAAAUAAGCUCAAGUAAAUAAAAGUGUGGCUCUGA